rnacentral:rRNA from 1 species
UUAAAUUGAAGAGUUUGAUCAUGGCUCAGAUUGAACGCUGGCGGCAGGCCUAACACAUGCAAGUCGAACGGUAACAGGAAGCAGCUUGCUGYUUUGCUGACGAGUGGCGGACGGGUGAGUAAUGUCUGGGAAACUGCCUGAUGGAGGGGGAUAACUACUGGAAACGGUAGCUAAUACCGCAUAACGUCGCAAGACCAAAGAGGGGGACCUUAGGGCCUCUUGCCAUCGGAUGUGCCCAGAUGGGAUUAGCUAGUAGGUGGGGUAACGGCUCACCUAGGCGACGAUCCCUAGCUGGUCUGAGAGGAUGACCAGCCACACUGGAACUGAGACACGGUCCAGACUCCUACGGGAGGCAGCAGUGGGGAAUAUUGCACAAUGGGCGCAAGCCUGAUGCAGCCAUGCCGCGUGUAUGAAGAAGGCCUUCGGGUUGUAAAGUACUUUCAGCGGGGAGGAAGGGAGUAAAGUUAAUACCUUUGCUCAUUGACGUUACCCGCAGAAGAAGCACCGGCUAACUCCGUGCCAGCAGCCGCGGUAAUACGGAGGGUGCAAGCGUUAAUCGGAAUUACUGGGCGUAAAGCGCACGCAGGCGGUUUGUUAAGUCAGAUGUGAAAUCCCCGGGCUCAACCUGGGAACUGCAUCUGAUACUGGCAAGCUUGAGUCUCGUAGAGGGGGGUAGAAUUCCAGGUGUAGCGGUGAAAUGCGUAGAGAUCUGGAGGAAUACCGGUGGCGAAGGCGGCCCCCUGGACGAAGACUGACGCUCAGGUGCGAAAGCGUGGGGAGCAAACAGGAUUAGAUACCCUGGUAGUCCACGCCGUAAACGAUGUCGACUUGGAGGUUGUGCCCUUGAGGCGUGGCUUCCGGAGCUAACGCGUUAAGUCGACCGCCUGGGGAGUACGGCCGCAAGGUUAAAACUCAAAUGAAUUGACGGGGGCCCGCACAAGCGGUGGAGCAUGUGGUUUAAUUCGAUGCAACGCGAAGAACCUUACCUGGUCUUGACAUCCACGGAAGUUUUCAGAGAUGAGAAUGUGCCUUCGGGAACCGUGAGACAGGUGCUGCAUGGCUGUCGUCAGCUCGUGUUGUGAAAUGUUGGGUUAAGUCCCGCAACGAGCGCAACCCUUAUCCUUUGUUGCCAGCGGUCCGGCCGGGAACUCAAAGGAGACUGCCAGUGAUAAACUGGAGGAAGGUGGGGAUGACGUCAAGUCAUCAUGGCCCUUACGACCAGGGCUACACACGUGCUACAAUGGCGCAUACAAAGAGAAGCGACCUCGCGAGAGCAAGCGGACCUCAUAAAGUGCGUCGUAGUCCGGAUUGGAGUCUGCAACUCGACUCCAUGAAGUCGGAAUCGCUAGUAAUCGUGGAUCAGAAUGCCACGGUGAAUACGUUCCCGGGCCUUGUACACACCGCCCGUCACACCAUGGGAGUGGGUUGCAAAAGAAGUAGGUAGCUUAACCUUCGGGAGGGCGCUUACCACUUUGUGAUUCAUGACUGGGGUGAAGUCGUAACAAGGUAACCGUAGGGGAACCUGCGGUUGGAUCACCUCCUUACCUUAAAGAAGC